rnacentral:rRNA from 1 species
ACAACUUUUAACAACGGAUCUCUUGGCUCUCGCAUCGAUGAAGAACGCAGCGAACUGCGAUAAGUAAUGUGAAUUGCAGAAUUCAGUGAAUCAUCGAAUCUUUGAACGCACCUUGCGCUCUCUGGUAUUCCGGGGAGCACACCUGUUCGAGUGU